rnacentral:rRNA from 1 species
GCAACGACGAAAACCUUAACCCACCUUUCGUACAUGGCAGGAAUCCUGAAGAGAUUGGAGUGCUCGAAAGAGAACCUGCACACAGGUGCUGCAUGGCUGUCGUCAGCUCGUGUCGUGAGAUGUUGGGUUAAGUCCGCAACGAGCGCAACCCUUGCCAUUAGUUGCUACGAAAGGGCACUCUAAUGGGACUGCCGGUGACAAACCGGAGGAAGGUGGGGAUGACGUCAAGUCCUCAUGGCCCUUAUAGGUGGGGCUACACACGUCAUACAAUGGCCGGUACAGAGGGUAGCCAACCCGCGAGGGGGAGCCAAUCCCACAAAGCCGGUCGUAGUCCGGAUCGCAGUCUGCAACUCGACUGCGUGAAGUCGGAAUCGCUAGUAAUCGCGGAUCAGCAUGUCACGGUGAAUACGUUCCCGGGUCUU